rnacentral:lncRNA from 1 species
GUGGAGGGCCAGGCACCUUGCCCUCCUCACCGGCUCCCGCAGUGGCCCAGAGCAAGCACCCAGGGACCUCGAUGCUGCAGUGUGGGCCUAGGCGAUAAGGCAGGGCCAACCUGAGGCCACAGCACAGGAGGGGUGGGAUUUGGGGAGGCUCUGGGGCUCAGAGAAGACCUGCCUGCCCCCUGGAGUGCGCCCAGGCCCGGUGUGGCUCUGGCUUCCUGUUCCUGAGGUGAUAGGAUCUGCUCAUCCUAGGGGCUUGGGCGCUACGAAAAUGAUCAGAACUGAGCGGGAGCCCCUGGAGGAAGCUCCAGGUUGGGCCUGGGGUCCUGAACUCAGAGAAGAGGGAAGCGCUGGAGGCCUCAUGGGAACUCAUUCCUGGGCUCCGAAAUUCCCAUGUUUAUCCCAAGGGAAACCUCCUUGCCAAAGAGCAGCAUCCAGGGCGCAGCUUUAAGAAACAGCGACAGAGGCGCUAGAAAACCAGGAAUCUGCAGAAGCUUAGAUAAAUUGAUAAAGCAGGGAUUCCCUGAAGGAGCACGAGGAUGCCGCUUGGCGGGAGGCCAGAAGACCAAGGGCUGAGCGGACUUCCUGAGCCUUUAUCAGGCGCUGUGCUGAGCCCCGGGUGUGCACAUUCUUAUUUAAUGGAGGAAGUGCCACUUUCUUUGUAGACGAGGAUGUGGAGGCUUGGCAGAGCAAGGGACCUUGUUUGACCAGGAGGUGGGCUGCAGCCCCAUCCUUCAGGGCCUGAACUCAGCUGGUGUACUUCCCGUCCUGCGGCACCCACCCCUUGCUGUUUCUUUACCUCUAGGCCGUUCAACAGCUAAGACUUGACCGUCUCAGCAUGCACUUCAGUUUCACGUGGAAGGCGGUUAGUUGGCCAUGCUCUCGGGGAGGGUCCCAAACUCCUCCACCUGGUGUUCCUGCCGCUGACACCUGCAGGUUCGUCCCCUGUGCAGGCCCCUGCACUGGCCUCCAGGCCCAUGACAGCAAGUGCCUCCUCUAGACGCCAGAGAUGCAGUCAAGAAUUGCAUGUGAGAGCGUGAAAUUAACAACCCUGAUAGGCCAGAGAAGCAGGGGCAAGGAAGCGGGCCAGUCCCAUCCAGCUUCCCUGGAGUACCACUAACAAGGGCGGCGGAGGACGGAACGGGAUGUGCCUCCUGUGGGGGCUCCUGGGAAGCCGUGCCAGACGGAAUAUCGGGAGGGUGAGGACACCCCAGGGGCAUUUCUACCGUCCCACGGCAGUUACGCCAUCACUGUCAGUUUCUACUUAGUUUUCAUGAGACCACCCUAGAUUUCCAAUGGCAAACUUGCCUUGGGAGACGUAUAUAUAAUAAAACAUAUGUUUGUCUCA